CACUGAGUCAGAUGAGUGACUGACCUUUCUGUCUUUAAAACAGAGCCUGAGCUUCAAGUGUUUGUAAGGGACAGUCAAGUCACAGCUUCAUUGUCUUCAUCAUUGCUCUGCUUUGAGGAAAGUCUGAAGGAGCUGGAGUUUUCAGGCCUGGAGAAGAGGGGCUUCCUGAAGGAAGCUGCUGCCAUGGGCCAGCCCUGUCCCAGGGCCUGCAGCUGCUCUGUCACACCACGUCCCUGA
rnacentral:lncRNA from 1 species